rnacentral:lncRNA from 1 species
UCAGCAUCUUUCUUCUCCUCCUCAUCCUCGUCAUCAGAAAUUUCCUUCUCGGUGGUCUUCUCAGUCCACAGGGAGAUAGGAUAGCUGAUAAACUCAGAAUGCUUCUUGAUCAGAUCUUUGAGGCGGCGCUCCUCAAGGUACUCCAACUGCAAUCAAAUCAAACCAAAACAUAGCAGGAAGGUUAUUCACAGUAUGAAAAAGGAUAAGCAUACAUUUGUAGAGAAGAAAAAGAAAAUACGGAAAAAGUAGCAAUGAUGAUAAGGCAACAGAAAGCCCUCAUUUAUAGAGUUAAAAGCGAGAGAAGUCUUCCAUUGUUAAUAUCUAGUAAAGCAUAACAAUGAACAUUUGCGCAUCACAUUAAUUUCUGACAGAUCAUAAAGCUGUAUACUCAUCAUGCAAUGCGAAAAUACCAAUAAAAGUUAUACCAAUCAACAAUGAAAAACAAAAAAGGAGCAUCAUGAUAAAAUAGCAAUAAAAAGCAUACUUAUCAACCAUGAAAAAAAAAAAAAAAAACAGGAGCAUGCAGGUAAGACAGUAGUGGCCUUCAAAUACAUGUAACAAAGAGUUUUUACUAAGUAUAUUAAUGGCUAACCUCAUGAUGUUAUUGAUAAAUAUCACAGGCUGUUACACAUUCUAUAUAACUAAAAAAUUGGCCAUCAUGUAACAGUCAUAAUGCUUGUUAUGACAUCACCAAGUUUAUGAAUGGGAGUUGGCCACAGAAAACCUCAAACAGUGAUGCAUCAUAAUUUUAUCCAUGUAGUCAACCAUAAACAGAUGGCAUAAAGUUUUUCUUGUAAGGAAAAUUGAUAGUAUUAAUUAAUGGUGUUACAUCAUCAUGACAAGCAAGUACAUUGAUUUUUCACCAGAAGAAUUGCAGAUAAAUCGGAGUUGAAAAAUAGUUUUUCAUUUUAAACGUAAAAUUUCAAAAUCAAUUAUUUGAUAACGGCCUGUUAUACCAUAACAAAGGCCCAUAAAAUUUUGAGACUAUGGGCAUAAUAUCCAAGCUCAUGCAACUAAAACCCUAACAUUAUAGAGAGACAAUCAAAAGAUGCAUGAAUGUAACAUCUUCCAGAACUAACUUCAAUGACCCUUCAACCAUAGAAAUAUUCGUCACGAAAAUGAAAGUAUUACAUGCCUGAGUUUGUCAAUCAGCAUACAGAUCAAGUGUAUCUGAGUUCUUUAAACAAAAAAAUUGCACUUCUCACUUCAGAAGAAUCGACCAAAAGAAAGUUGUCUAGUCAACAAAUUAUCAAUAGACACAUUAAGACAUUGAUGCAAACAUGACAUUUUUUUGAAAUAUAUUAGGAUCACCAUCAGGAUGGCAUUCUGACAGCAAAGAAACACAAUAAGCCAAUUUCUUCUUAUAGCUCUUAAGCUAAUAGCGUUCAAGAGUUCAUUGAACGUUAUGUCACAUGCCACAGUGUAUUCUUGCUUUGGCGUCAACAAAAUAUGACCUGGUAACACAAAAUCGCUGCACAUAUACAAAUUUAUAUUUUCAUCUUCACAAAAGCCAUUUUUUCUGCUCCUAUUUUUUAUCUUUCAAAAAAAAAAAAAAUCCAAAGUUCAAGUAAAUAAUGCCAACAAUGAGACAAUUAUAGUUAAAAAGGGUGGGUCCUAUCAGUGUUUAUAUCCAUGCAUGCAUAGGUGAAAACCACCACACACAUUGGGAAAAUCGCCUACAUGCACACACCAUGCUUAAAUAUAGAUAUGCAUGUGUGGUUAAAACCCACAAAAACAUGCCAAACAUGGCCUUGUGCUCGUAGCUCAUGAUUGGUCCCAAUGCUUUUCCUGUUUACAUCUGCAAGUGCCGUGUUAGAAGCAGUCCUCAACAUUAUCUUUAAGCCCAACUUCAUAAGGUCACCUUAAGAAAAUAUUCAAGUCACCAAUCAGCCGCUCCAAAACAAUUCCUCACCCAAUAAGCAAUCUCAAUAAGCCCCAUAAAUUGCCUCGUAAAAUAGUCCAACCUUUUGUUACAAGUCAACAUCAUUUCAACGUUCAAGACAUCGAAUUGAAUCCAACACCGAAAACAUUGCACUUCCACAUUUUCUUCAUCAGCUAGUAAUCCACAACCAGUUAAAAACCAAUCUCAGGCCAAAAUUUAAGUACAAAUCAGAAUAAUCAAAUUCCUAUACAAACAUUAAGGACAGCAUACCUAGUUAGCAAAUAAGAAAAUAACUUCAACAACAUUAAAUUAUCAGUAAUUAAUCAGGCCACCAAUACAAAUAAUCAAACAACUCAUUAAACAAACGCCAGAAUGGAAUUCUCUACACCUACGCAAACUACUCGAUACUCAUCCAUUCAAAAGGAGAGAGAACAGAGAGAAAUUUAUUUGAAGUUAAGCUAGCAUCAGGGCUAUUGUUUCAAUACCUGAUCCUCCUUGAGGAAAAGAGUGAUCUUGGUGCCCCGUCCGAGGUUUUCCCCAGAGGUAUCCCUCGUAACAGUGAACGACCCACCGGCCUGGGACUCCCACACGUACUGCUC